rfam:Camelus ferus unplaced genomic scaffold scaffold846, whole genome shotgun sequence.
GGGGGUACAGCUCAGUGGAAGAGUGUAUGCUUAGCACACACAAGGUCCUGGGUUCAAUCCCCAGUACCGCCA